AACGAACGCUGGCGGCAUGCCUAACACAUGCAAGUCGAACGAUCCCUUCGGGGAUAGUGGCGCACGGGUGCGUAACGCGUGGGAAUCUGCCCUCAGGUACGGAAUAACUCAGGGAAACUUGAGCUAAUACCGUAUAAUGACUUCGGUCCAAAGAUUUAUCGCCUGGGGAUGAGCCCGCGUCGGAUUAGCUAGUUGGUGAGGUAAAAGCUCACCAAGGCGACGAUCCGUAGCUGGUCUGAGAGGAUGAUCAGCCACACUGGGACUGAGACACGUCCCAGACUCCUACGGGAGGCAGCAGUGGGGAAUAUUGGACAAUGGGCGCAAGCCUGAUCCAGCAAUGCCGCGUGAGUGAUGAAGGCCUUAGGGUUGUAAAGCUCUUUUACCCGGGAAGAUAAUGACUGUACCGGGAGAAUAAGCCCCGGCUAACUCCGUGCCAGCAGCCGCGGUAAUACGGAGGGGGCGUAGCGUUGUUCGGAAUUACUGGGCGUAAAGCGCACGUA
rnacentral:rRNA from 1 species